rnacentral:lncRNA from 1 species
CUUCUAUAGAACACAACCUUCAGCCCCCGAAUCUGUGAGUAACAAUUUUCUCUUGCUGAAGAAAGUAAUGUCUCACCAUCCCAAACUGUUGUGAGGUAAGAUUUUUCUUGCCUGCUUUAAUGAAGAUUUACCAUUGGUAGACAGAAAUGAGCUCAAGGGAGCUACCAUAAGUGGGACUGUUGUUAUUAACAAUGUACUAUACUGAAAAUUGCUAAGAGAGCAGAUCUUAAGUGUUCUCACCACAAAAAGAGAAGUAUAGGAAGGCAUGAGGAUUAGUUGUUCUACAGUGUAAACCCAUUCCAAAACAAGAUGCCAUAUAGGAUGAACAUAUUUAAGUUUUAAGUCCAGCUGAAGAUAAACUACAGUUGAGGAUUGGAGCAGCAGUGUAUUUUUAAAUAAUCACCAAAAUAACAAGAGCCUGGCCAAAUGCUCUGGACUGCGUGCUUAUUUAAAAACAAAUCUUCUUCAAGGUUUGAUAACCACCAACUCAGACAGCAUCUUCAUUGCUAAGACUCUUCAAUUCCACAGCAUGUGUUUCAAAUUUUGCCUGCAUAACUUAUUUUUUGUCCUACUUUUCUGUCAAAAACAAUGUGGAAACCCCAGGUUAUAUAAUUGAGGUCUUGGAGAGGCUGUAUACAUCCCGCCAAACAAAACAAAAUGAAAGCUAUUAUCCUGAAAUAUGUUUGAGGAAGUCUUGGCCUUUGUUGGGUUAAGAGAGCCAACAGCUUCCUUAGUGCAACCAUGUGCGAAAUCAGUCUUUACCAUAAUGUGAUCUGUAACAACGUUUGUGUAUUUUUAAGUACGGAGGAGAAGAAAUCAGUUUGGAGUGAAGUAAUAAUGUGUUCUAGAAGCUGAAAUCACUGUGCUAAUCUUCCUUGUGAUUAUCUUCCCCAUUAGACAAGUCAAGUGGAGAGCUCUCUCUGCAAGGCUUGUCUCUGCAGGGUGGAUGGGAAGAUAGUCAUUUCUUUCUUUCUCCUAUGAGGGCGAACACACAACUAAUUUAGGUUAAAGCUAAAAGGGUGCCUCUCCUUUGCAGGGACUCUUACAUGUGCUUUAGAGGAUGUCUGAAUAGGGCAGGUUUGAUCCCAUACAGCAUUGAGGAGGAAGUGGUGGAGAUGGUCAAGUUGGCAAUAUUUGGGGCCACUUUGCUGUUCUCAUGGAGUGUUGAGAGAG